rnacentral:lncRNA from 1 species
CAGCAUGCCAAAGGAGAGGGUCACCAUGUAGACCAGGAGGACUGGUACUGACUCUAUAGAGAAAUAUCACUGCUGCUGCAGAAUGCCAGCAAGAAAGAAAACCUCUGAAAUCCAGAAGAUGCUCUGAGAUUCCUCCAGAGACCCCCAUAUCCAGCUGUAAAAGUUAAUGGAUGAUCCCAGGAGCCCACAGUAGGCAGGAUGACAAAGGGCUCAAUAUGUAAUAAAAAGGAUGAUGUACCUCAACUCAACAGGGCUGGGGUGAUCUUGCUCUCAUCGUUCAGGUCUGAGUUCCUCCCGUGGUCUAUUCAUGAGCAAAGCAGGAAUCUCAUUAUGACUGAGGUUGAGUUGCUGACCAGGUGUAAAUGGAAGGGAACAGCACUGAAACUGAUAUCAAUAAGAAUGGAGUCCAAGUUAAAGACAGGUACACCUGAAAUAUAUCAAGGCGGAUGAACCAAGGCAGGAGAUGAUCGCCGAGGAGGAUUUAGGGACCUCUCGGAGAUUCACUGAAUUUGCUGUGAGUCAAAAAACAGAGACAUCUGCGAUUUGCUACAUCAGGUAGCAGACUCACGCCAAGAGCAG